AUUCAGUUGACGAGUCCCAAAUAGGACGAAACGCAUAUCAAACUGGAU
rnacentral:hammerhead_ribozyme from 1 species